CUCGGGUGACGAGCGGCGGACGGGUGAGUAAUGUCUGGGAAACUGCCUGAUGGAGGGGGAUAACUACUGGAAACGGUAGCUAAUACCGCAUAAUGUCGCAAGACCAAAGUGGGGGACCUUCGGGCCUCAUGCCAUCAGAUGUGCCCAGAUGGGAUUAGCUAGUAGGUGGGGUAACGGCUCACCUAGGCGACGAUCCCUAGCUGGUCUGAGAGGAUGACCAGCCACACUGGAACUGAGACACGGUCCAGACUCCUACGGGAGGCAGCAGUGGGGAAUAUUGCACAAUGGGCGCAAGCCUGAUGCAGCCAUGCCGCGUGUGUGAAGAAGGCCUUCGGGUUGUAAAGCACUUUCAGCGGGGAGGAAGGCGGUGAGGUUAAUAACCUUGUCGAUUGACGUUACCCGCAGAAGAAGCACCGGCUAACUCCGUGCCAGCAGCCGCGGUAAUACGGAGGGUGCAAGCGUUAAUCGGAAUUACUGGGCGUAAAGCGCACGCAGGCGGUCUGUCAAGUCGGAUGUGAAAUCCCCGGGCUCAACCUGGGAACUGCAUUCGAAACUGGCAGGCUAGAGUCUUGUAGAGGGGGGUAGAAUUCCAGGUGUAGCGGUGAAAUGCGUAGAGAUCUGGAGGAAUACCGGUGGCGAAGGCGGCCCCCUGGACAAAGACUGACGCUCAGGUGCGAAAGCGUGGGGAGCAAACAGGAUUAGAUACCCUGGUAGUCCACGCCGUAAACGAUGUCGAUUUGGAGGUUGUGCCCUUGAGGCGUGGCUUCCGGAGCUAACGCGUUAAAUCGACCGCCUGGGGAGUACGGCCGCAAGGUUAAAACUCAAAUGAAUUGACGGGGGCCCGCACAAGCGGUGGAGCAUGUGGUUUAAUUCGAUGCAACGCGAAGAACCUUACCUGGUCUUGACAUCCACAGAACUUUCCAGAGAUGGAUUGGUGCCUUCGGGAACUGUGAGACAGGUGCUGCAUGGCUGUCGUCAGCUCGUGUUGUGAAAUGUUGGGUUAAGUCCCGCAACGAGCGCAACCCUUAUCCUUUGUUGCCAGCGGUUAGGCCGGGAACUCAAAGGAGACUGCCAGUGAUAAACUGGAGGAAGGUGGGGAUGACGUCAAGUCAUCAUGGCCCUUACGACCAGGGCUACACACGUGCUACAAUGGCAUAUACAAAGAGAAGCGACCUCGCGAGAGCAAGCGGACCUCAUAAAGUAUGUCGUAGUCCGGAUUGGAGUCUGCAACUCGACUCCAUGAAGUCGGAAUCGCUAGUAAUCGUAGAUCAGAAUGCUACGGUGAAUACGUUCCCGGGCCUUGUACACACCGCCCGUCACACCAUGGGAGUGGGUUGCAAAAGAAGUAGG
rnacentral:rRNA from 1 species